AAAACGUUGAUGUACUUUUUGCAUUCGAAUUGACAUAAUUUGAACAUAGACUCUGCAUUUAUGCCAUAAAAUAUGUCUGAUCGGACGUGCUGAAUCAUCCGGCAAAAACCAUCAAUAUUUUUAAAGUAACAUUAAUUAGAAUCAAGGUCUACUGUGCAUUUAAUCCGUCAUGUGUUUGUUUCAGAUGAAUGAAUACCUGCACCAUGGAAACAAUGUCAUUUGCAAACUUUUUGAACCUGUGCUGGGCGUUCACAUUGACAUUUCUUGUUCAACAGGAAUACAUGAUGUCGACCAACAGUACAGCUAGAUGAAGAUAUAAAUUUAUUCAAAGAAAUAAUGGGACAAUGAAUGCUAAAUUUGCCAAGAAGAAGACUGCCAAUUUACACACCAUUUUAUAUAGUUACAGUAUGAUAUGGUGAACAAAAUGCCUCAAUGCAGUCAGUUCUGGAGCUUUGGCUAGACUAUGAACAGUAGACAUCAAAAGGUAAUUUUUUAUGUAAUUACUGUUUAUCAGUUCAAAUGAAACUUGGUACAUCAGCAUAAAGUGGACAGGCACAUAUUGUCAGGACUAUCAAAUUUGAUUAUUUGUUUCUUCAGUUAUUAUGUCAUUUUCUUUUUCAAAUUGUCAUAUCAUAGCUUCCUUCAUACCUUUUGCAUUAAAACUCUCUUUCUGCAGAUUCCAUCAUAUUCAAAUGGAUCAUGGUAUACUUCAUGGCCA